UACGGGGGGGGCAAGCGUUGUUCGGAAUUACUGGGCGUAAAGGGCUCGUAGGCGGCCAACUAAGUCAGACGUGAAAUCCCUCGGCUUAACCGGGGAACUGCGUCUGAUACUGGAUGGCUUGAAUCCGGGAGAGGGAUGCGGAAUUCCAGGUGUAGCGGUGAAAUGCGUAGAUAUCGGGAGGAACACCAGUGGCGAAGGCGGUUGCCUGGGGCUUUGCUGACGCUGAUGCGCGAAAGCGUGGGGAGCGAUCCGG
rnacentral:rRNA from 1 species